rnacentral:lncRNA from 1 species
AUCAUAAACAACAACCUCUUCUUCACUACACACCGAAAUAAGGAACACAACUUCAUCCAUAUUACAUGUGAAGGCUUUAGACCAAGACACGCUACAACCCCAAUGUAAGUACUCACUAUACCUCCCAAUCGCUUUUGAGUCAUGGCAAAUAUCUAAAGUUUUAAUGAGAAAAAAAAGAAGAGGAGGAAACCUCAGACUUUACGUCACAGCCCGUGACUUUAGAUUUUGACUCAGCUAAAGUAAAACAGAUCUAGUUUUUGUGUUUCACGGUAGCAUAGCAUUAGUAGCAGAGAGAUGAGAAGAUAAAGACUACACACAGUCACACAGUGUUCACACUACACUCCACACUUUCCCACCCCUCUCUCUCUCUCUCUCUCUCUCUUGUUUGUUCCUUCUUUCUUCUCCCACUGGUCCUUUUCUCUUUCUCAUCCUUAAAACAAAUCUCUCUGCAAUAGCAAGCAUCACCCCCUUUCUUUUGUCCAGAAAUGCACACAGUCACACACUAUUCACACUACACUCCACAACCCCACUAGACUCCCCAUAUUUCUUGUUUCUUCCUUCUUCCUCCUCACUAUAUGUCCUUUUUCUUAAUUUCAUCCAUUUAACAAAUCUCCUCUGCAAAUAUGGAUCUCAAGAAAUACACACAAUCACACAGUCCAUCACAAACCUGUGCAAAUAUGUAUCUUUGAUACUCACCCCUUUCUUCCUCAAGAGAUGCACACAGUCACACAGUACACUCCAGACUCCACACUCCGACCAGUUGCCAUUCUUGUUUCUUCCUUUUUAUUUUUUCAUUCAUAAAUCUCUCUGCAAAUAUGCAUCUUUAACUCUAUCAACAUCACGACAGUCACAAAAUAGUGUUUGAUUAUUCCUUCUUCUUCCACAUUAGUCCAUUUCUUUAAUCAAUAAACAAAUCUGUCUGCAAAUUUGUAUCUCUAAACUCUUCCAAGUCACCCCUUUCUUCUUCAAGAGAUACACACAGUCACUAUUCUUGUUUGUUCCUUUUUCUUCCACAGGUCCAUUCGUUUCACCCCAAUAACAAAUCUCUCUGCAAAUAUGCACGUCUAGCUUUUCAAAGAUCACACCUUUACUCAAGAAAUGCCUCCAGAAAACCCAUUUCCGCCUCCUCUAACCACCCUACCUGUCUUCCCCACCACCUACCUACCUCCCCCGCCACCCCCACCACCCUCGUACCAUCACCAUUCUCACUCCCCUCUCAUCCCACCCUUUAUAGCUGCUGCUUUUGCCUUGACAUUCUUCAUUGUUGCUGCCAUCAUUUACCGCAAAGUGUCACGCAAUAGGACUGUUCCUACAGAUCUGAAGUC